AAAUUGAAGAGUUUGAUCAUGGCUCAGAUUGAACGCUGGCGGCAGGCCUAACACAUGCAAGUCGAACGGUAACAGGAAGCAGCUUGCUGCUUUGCUGACGAGUGGCGGACGGGUGAGUAAUGUCUGGGAAACUGCCUGAUGGAGGGGGAUAACUACUGGAAACGGUGGCUAAUACCGCAUAACGUCGCAAGACCAAAGAGGGGGACCUUCAGGCCUCUUGCCAUCAGAUGUGCCCAGAUGGGAUUAGCU
rnacentral:rRNA from 1 species